UGAAUAUGGUGGUCGCCUAUAACCCUUAUUUCGAAGGCCACCUGUCAAGUUUCCAAAGUUCAAUUCCUUACUUGCUUGCAAACUAGAAUCAUAAGAAGGUUUCAAUUCCUUACUUUCUUCCAGACUAGAAUCAUAAGAAGGUUUCAAUUCCUUACUUUCUUCCAGACUAGAAUCAUAAGAAGGUUCAGUAUCUUCAAUGUCUUCAGCCAACUUCGGAGGGAAAAUACUGUUUUCAGCUUGGUGAGAAUCAAUAUUCUUUUUAUGACUACCUACACUAGGAUC
rnacentral:lncRNA from 1 species